rnacentral:rRNA from 1 species
GUCUACGGCCAUACCACCCUGAACGCGCCUGAUCUCGGAAGCUAAGCAGGGUCGGGCCUGGUUAGUACUUGGAUGGGAGAUAGUGCCCAACCAGUGUGACUCAGUGGCUGAGCAUU